rnacentral:rRNA from 1 species
UACGUAGGGGGCUAGCGUUAUCCGGAAUUACUGGGCGUAAAGGGUGCGUAGGUGGUUUCUUAAGUCAGAGGUGAAAGGCUACGGCUCAACCGUAGUAAGCCUUUGAAACUGGGAAACUUGAGUGCAGGAGAGGAGAGUGGAAUUCCUAGUGUAGCGGUGAAAUGCGUAGAUAUUUGGAGGAACACCAGUUGCGAAGGCGGCUCUCUGGACUGUAACUGACACUGAGGCACGAAAGCGUGGGGAGCAAACAGG